AUGGACCCCAACUGCUCCUUCUUCACUGGUGGCUCCUGCACCUAUGCCAGCUCCUGCAAAUGCAAAGACUGCAAAUGUACCUCCUGCAAGAAGAGCUGCUGGUCCUGCUGUCCUGUGCACUGUGUUCAGUGUGUCCAAGGUUGUAUUUGCAAAGGAGCAAUGGACGAGUGUGAUGUCAGAGAGAGCCUGCUCCCCAAUGUAGAUUGA